CCUACGGGAGGCAGCAGUGGGGAAUAUUGGUCAAUGGACGAGAGUCUGAACCAGCCAAGUAGCGUGAAGGAUGACUGCCCUAUGGGUUGUAAACUUCUUUUAUAAAGGAAUAAAACGAGGCAAGUGUGCCUUUUUGCAUGUACUUUAUGAAUAAGGGUCGGCUAACUCCGUGCCAGCAGGCGCGGUAAUACGGAGGAUCCGAGCGUUAUCCGGAUUUAUUGGGUUUAAAGGGAGCGUAGAUGGGUUGUUAAGUCAGUUGUGAAAGUUGGCGGCGCAACCGUAAAAUUGCAAUUGAUACUGGCAGUCUGGAGUACAGUUGAGGUAGGCGGAAUUCGUGGUGUAGCGGUGAAAUGCGUAGAUAUCACGAAGAACACCGAUGGCGAAGGCAGCUUACUAAACUGUGACUGACAUUGAUGCUCGAAAGUGUGGGUAUCAAACAGGAUUAGAUACCCGAGUAGUC
rnacentral:rRNA from 1 species